GGUUAAGCGACUAAGCGUACACGGUGGAUGCCCUGGCAGUCAGAGGCGAUGAAGGACGUGCUAAUCUGCGAUAAGCGUCGGUAAGGUGAUAUGAACCGUUAUAACCGGCGAUUUCCGAAUGGGGAAACCCAGUGUGAUUCGUCACACUAUCAUUAACUGAAUCCAUAGGUUAAUGAGGCGAACCGGGGGAACUGAAACAUCUAAGUACCCCGAGGAAAAGAAAUCAACCGAGAUUCCCCCAGUAGCGGCGAGCGAACGGGGAGCAGCCCAGAGCCUGAAUCAGUGUGUGUGUUAGUGGAAGCGUCUGGAAAGGCGCGCGAUACAGGGUGACAGCCCCGUACACAAAAAUGCACAUGCUGUGAGCUCGAUGAGUAGGGCGGGACACGUGGUAUCCUGUCUGAAUAUGGGGGGACCAUCCUCCAAGGCUAAAUACUCCUGACUGACCGAUAGUGAACCAGUACCGUGAGGGAAAGGCGAAAAGAACCCCGGCGAGGGGAGUGAAAAAGAACCUGAAACCGUGUACGUACAAGCAGUGGGAGCACGCUUAGGCGUGUGACUGCGUACCUUUUGUAUAAUGGGUCAGCGACUUAUAUUCUGUAGCAAGGUUAACCGAAUAGGGGAGCCGAAGGGAAACCGAGUCUUAACUGGGCGUUAAGUUGCAGGGUAUAGACCCGAAACCCGGUGAUCUAGCCAUGGGCAGGUUGAAGGUUGGGUAACACUAACUGGAGGACCGAACCGACUAAUGUUGAAAAAUUAGCGGAUGACUUGUGGCUGGGGGUGAAAGGCCAAUCAAACCGGGAGAUAGCUGGUUCUCCCCGAAAGCUAUUUAGGUAGCGCCUCGUGAAUUCAUCUCCGGGGGUAGAGCACUGUUUCGGCAAGGGGGUCAUCCCGACUUACCAACCCGAUGCAAACUGCGAAUACCGGAGAAUGUUAUCACGGGAGACACACGGCGGGUGCUAACGUCCGUCGUGAAGAGGGAAACAACCCAGACCGCCAGCUAAGGUCCCAAAGUCAUGGUUAAGUGGGAAACGAUGUGGGAAGGCCCAGACAGCCAGGAUGUUGGCUUAGAAGCAGCCAUCAUUUAAAGAAAGCGUAAUAGCUCACUGGUCGAGUCGGCCUGCGCGGAAGAUGUAACGGGGCUAAACCAUGCACCGAAGCUGCGGCAGCGACGCUUAUGCGUUGUUGGGUAGGGGAGCGUUCUGUAAGCCUGCGAAGGUGUGCUGUGAGGCAUGCUGGAGGUAUCAGAAGUGCGAAUGCUGACAUAAGUAACGAUAAAGCGGGUGAAAAGCCCGCUCGCCGGAAGACCAAGGGUUCCUGUCCAACGUUAAUCGGGGCAGGGUGAGUCGACCCCUAAGGCGAGGCCGAAAGGCGUAGUCGAUGGGAAACAGGUUAAUAUUCCUGUACUUGGUGUUACUGCGAAGGGGGGACGGAGAAGGCUAUGUUGGCCGGGCGACGGUUGUCCCGGUUUAAGCGUGUAGGCUGGUUUUCCAGGCAAAUCCGGAAAAUCAAGGCUGAGGCGUGAUGACGAGGCACUACGGUGCUGAAGCAACAAAUGCCCUGCUUCCAGGAAAAGCCUCUAAGCAUCAGGUAACAUCAAAUCGUACCCCAAACCGACACAGGUGGUCAGGUAGAGAAUACCAAGGCGCUUGAGAGAACUCGGGUGAAGGAACUAGGCAAAAUGGUGCCGUAACUUCGGGAGAAGGCACGCUGAUAUGUAGGUGAAGUCCCUCGCGGAUGGAGCUGAAAUCAGUCGAAGAUACCAGCUGGCUGCAACUGUUUAUUAAAAACACAGCACUGUGCAAACACGAAAGUGGACGUAUACGGUGUGACGCCUGCCCGGUGCCGGAAGGUUAAUUGAUGGGGUCAGCGCAAGCGAAGCUCUUGAUCGAAGCCCCGGUAAACGGCGGCCGUAACUAUAACGGUCCUAAGGUAGCGAAAUUCCUUGUCGGGUAAGUUCCGACCUGCACGAAUGGCGUAAUGAUGGCCAGGCUGUCUCCACCCGAGACUCAGUGAAAUUGAACUCGCUGUGAAGAUGCAGUGUACCCGCGGCAAGACGGAAAGACCCCGUGAACCUUUACUAUAGCUUGACACUGAACAUUGAGCCUUGAUGUGUAGGAUAGGUGGGAGGCUUUGAAGUGUGGACGCCAGUCUGCAUGGAGCCGACCUUGAAAUACCACCCUUUAAUGUUUGAUGUUCUAACGUUGACCCGUAAUCCGGGUUGCGGACAGUGUCUGGUGGGUAGUUUGACUGGGGCGGUCUCCUCCUAAAGAGUAACGGAGGAGCACGAAGGUUGGCUAAUCCUGGUCGGACAUCAGGAGGUUAGUGCAAUGGCAUAAGCCAGCUUGACUGCGAGCGUGACGGCGCGAGCAGGUGCGAAAGCAGGUCAUAGUGAUCCGGUGGUUCUGAAUGGAAGGGCCAUCGCUCAACGGAUAAAAGGUACUCCGGGGAUAACAGGCUGAUACCGCCCAAGAGUUCAUAUCGACGGCGGUGUUUGGCACCUCGAUGUCGGCUCAUCACAUCCUGGGGCUGAAGUAGGUCCCAAGGGUAUGGCUGUUCGCCAUUUAAAGUGGUACGCGAGCUGGGUUUAGAACGUCGUGAGACAGUUCGGUCCCUAUCUGCCGUGGGCGCUGGAGAAUUGAGGGGGGCUGCUCCUAGUACGAGAGGACCGGAGUGGACGCAUCACUGGUGUUCGGGUUGUCAUGCCAAUGGCACUGCCCGGUAGCUAAAUGCGGAAGAGAUAAGUGCUGAAAGCAUCUAAGCACGAAACUUGCCCCGAGAUGAGUUCUCCCUGACUCCUUGAGAGUCCUGAAGGAACGUUGAAGACGACGACGUUGAUAGGCCGGGUGUGUAAGCGCAGCGAUGCGUUGAGCUAACCGGUACUAAUGAACCGUGAGGCUUAACCUU
rnacentral:rRNA from 1 species